GCCCCGCGUCGCCUCCUUCUCCGGUCCCCUCCCCCCUCCCGGCUGCCCCCUUCUCCGCUGCCUCCUCGCCUCCUUCUCCGCCUCCACCCCGGCCCCCGCGAAACAGGAAAAGUGGGGGAAGGAGAAAAAGGAGCGGUUGACCCGAGGGCCGAGUUGAUCGGAGCGCCGGCCGGGGACAGAAGGAGCGCGCUUGGUGACAAGUCAGGUGGAGAAGCUCAAGUCUUGAACUCUGCUUGGUUUCCCAGGUCAUUGUUCAUUAUUUGAACUGGGAAAAGGGAUGGACUUGCAAGAAGAUUAGGAGGGUACCAUAACACAUUCCCUACAGUAAUUAGGGCUUCCCUUAACAAAGCCAAGGCUGGCACCUGGGUAGAUGUUCUUUGUUGAUUACGAAGUCUUAAUGUGGACUAGCUUCAGAAGCUUCUCAGAGCCAAACCGUCAUCUCUUUGCCUUUCUGCUACGAAGACCACACUCCCAUCCAGGCCACCCACCAGGUUCCAUUUGGUGGAACCCCCACCAAGGACACCUUUAGCUGUUGAUUGCUUUAUAGAAUAACCGGGCUGGAUGACAGCCCUGAGCAGUUUGCCAGUGUGGUCUAGUUUUCUAGGUUUCCCUGGUGAGUCAACAGGAAUGUAUCUACUUGUCUCUGGGAAUUGCAGUUCUACAUCAUCACCUAAAGUCUUCCAGAUUUUCCUGAAGAGAGGCAAAUCUGCAACGAGACGAGAAAUCAGUGAUAGGAAGAAAACUGUAAAGGUGUAAAACACAACUGAAAGCUGACUGUUGAAUUAACAUCGUGGUGAACAAGUGAACAGGACAGAAAGGGCUCCAAAUCUCCAGGAGCUGGUGAUCAACCAGGAAAGGGAAACAUUGACCGGACGGGAAAGCCACGAUUCACAGGUCAUCCUUACAAAGGAAGAUGUUUUAUUUCAUUUUGUGUGCCCUGUCAACGAGCACCUAUAUCACACAGCCGUGAUUCCAGAAAGGGGCCUUUGUUGAAUCUGUAUUUGGCUACACCAAUAGAAGAAAGCCAGUCAACAUCAUGUUGUGAUCGUCCCUGGCUCUUUUCUUCCGAGCUGUUUAUGAAGCAGGGAUCUCACAGGAAGCUGGGCUGUAAAGUUCUGGGCAGAGGAUUUGUGAAACCAGUGUUUGGCGGCUGCUAGUCAUUUGACUCAUGAAACUUACCACUAACUGAAAUCUGCAUUUUUGCCUCUUCCUGUUCAUGUUUGAGUCGUUUUAUAAUGCUUCCUGAAAUACUUCACUUAAAAAAGAAGUCAAACAACAAGAACAAUAACAACAACAACAACAAAGCUCUUCCCAACUUGACACCAUUUGAAGCAGUUAGGUCCUUUCCUGAUGGGGCAGUUUGUGCUGCAUACAUUCAGGGCAGGAGAGAUAAAGGGC
rnacentral:lncRNA from 1 species